rnacentral:rRNA from 1 species
AUACGGAGGGUGCGAGCGUUAAUCGGAAUUACUGGGCGUAAAGCGCGCGUAGGCGGUUUGCCAAGUCAGGCGUGAAAGCCCCGGGCUCAACCCGGGAACUGCGUUUGAAACUGGCAGGCUUGAGGCCGGGAGAGGGUAGUGGAAUUCCCAGUGUAGAGGUGAAAUUCGUAGAUAUUGGGAAGAACACCAGUGGCGAAGGCGGCUACCUGGACCGGUUCUGACGCUGCGGUGCGAAAGCGUGGGGAGCAAACAGGAUUAGAAACCCCAGUAGUCC